GUCAUUGGGUGUGGGAGACUGCCACAGCCUUCAAGGAAGGGAAUGAUUUCAAGGAGCAGAAAUAGAAUUCUUUCAGGACGCAGAAAAGCAUGAGAAAGGGAUAAAUUGAAAAGCAUGAAUUGUGUUCAAAGAACAAGAAGUGAUCAUAACUAAUACUCUAGAUAGAAGAUCGUGAAUCCUCCUGCUGUGUCAAGCACUGUGCUAAUCUUACACAAGCAUUGUUAACUACUGAGAUCAGGCUUAAAAGACAGGAACCAUUAUGAUUUCCACCUCAUUGGUAAGAAAACCGAGGCUGAGGGAAGUCAUAAACUUUACCCAAGGUCAUAGAGCUUAAAGUGAUAGAGUUUAUAGUUUGAAUCUUGUUCAUACUCAGUGAUAUACAAAAAUUUACAAAUCUAAUAUUGUUACAGUUUAAGGUACAACUUGAGCAUUAAACUAAGAGAAAUGUAUAUUGAUGAAAAAAACACUAUUCAUAAAUAGUGCUUCACUGCUGGGGGAAGAAAUCUGAUGCUCAUUUAGUAGGGACAAGGGAGCCAUUGUGCUCUGAACAGAAGUGACAGAUUCAAGUGUAUCAAUAUCAUAUAGAUAGUAUGACAAUAGAUUUAAGGAGAGUAUAAAUUUGAUUUUAGACAUCAACUCUGAGAUUUGAAUCCAAUAUCUCAAGGAACCAAGAGAAGAAGGAAGCUAACAUUGAGUUGCUAUUCUGCCAAGUAGAGACAGUAGUUGAAGUGUUAGUAGUUGAGGUCUUAAAUACAUGCUUGUCCAAAGACAAAACGAUGAAGUGGAACCCCAGAAACCAGGAAGGGAAGGGAGCAAGGGGGAAAGGGGACACAGAGUAUGCAAAGGAAUAGUAUUGUGUUCCAGUGGCUUGCCAGUCUGAUGGACUGAAGGAAAGAACCCAGAAAUGCCCAGUUCUGUCCUAGACAAAUGUAUUCCCAUCUGCAGACUCUAAGCGUAAACUAAUAUACCAAAGGGUCAAAGCAAGGCAGUGGAAGGGUUCACUACUUAAAGAUUUGCUUCUAACACUAUGAAUUCCAUGAGACCAGAAAUAGCUCUGUGGAUGAUUCCUACCUUCCUUAGUGGCAUAAGCUUAGUAGCCUGGACCAAUACACAAUGAAAGGCAUUUUUGUUGUUUUUUAGGAGUGAUAAACAGGUAAUCCCAGUAAUUUUGAUGUACAGAAGGGUAAGGGCCAGAGAGUCACAGGGAGAAUGAGACCAUAUCCACUGUCAUAGGGGUUGAUAAAAUAUACAUAGCAGCAUUCCCUCCUCUUACUGGGGAGAAUGGGAGAUUGGUUAUGGUUGCUGAUUAAUUGUUUUUGUGUUAUUGAAAGAAAGAAUUUAUGGGAAAGGAAGAUUUAUUUUGAUUCACAGUUUCAGAGGGUCUCAAGAAAUUAUGGCAGGGAAGGCACUGCAGAAAGGCUGUGUGGCAGCGAGAUUACAUGGCUGGGUUUCUUGACACCAUUGAAGACCAGGAAGAAGACAGUGGUUAGAACCAGGUACUGGGAAGUAACUUUCAAAGUUCCAUCUCUGCUGAUCUACUUCUGGUCAUGCUCCGCCUCCUAAAGGCUCCACACCCUCCCAAAAUAGCACCAGCGUAACCAAGACUGGAAUGCAACUCAAGAGAUUUAAACCAGAACAACUGCCCGCUGCCCUACAUUCAAUACAGAGACAGGAUGGAGAGAAGGGUGGGGAACAAGGAGCCUUAUUUAAGAAAGAAACUUAUAAAGAGAGGUGGCUAUACGAUUUUCAUUCAAUAUGAAGGUAGAAGCAGGUGAUUUGGGAGAAUACUAGUUCUAGUCAGAUUUUAGAUGACUAUGAUGACCUUCUGAAGAGUUUAUCUAGUAAAGCAGUAGGUUUAGAGCAAACUUGAUAAGGCUGAAGAUGAAGCAGGUGGCAAAGCCAAUGGAAAUAAUUAAUAUGGACCGUACCUUUUGAUAGCUUGCCACAGAGGUCCUCUGAAAGGCUCUGCCCUGCAGACUAUCAAAGCAGAUGCUGAGACUUAUGGGCAACCUUUGGGCAGAUUGCAGGGAAUCUUAUGAAAGAAGUGGGAAACAGUAAGAUCUGGAGAGGACAGAAGCCCCAGAAGGAGAGCAACAGAACCAAAAAUUCUGAGUACUGGGGUCUUCCCUGAGACUGAUACUCCAACUAAGUAGCAUGCAUGAAGAUAAUCUAGAACCCCUGCACAGAUGUAGCCCAUGACAGUUUAGUCUCCUAGUGGGUUCCAUAGUAAUGGGAACAGGGACUGUCUCUGACAUGAACUGAUUGGCCUGCUCUUUGAUCACCUCCCCCUGAUGGGAGAGCAGCCUUACCAGGCCACAGAGGAAGACAAUGCAGCCACUCCUGAUGAGACCUAAUUGAUUAGGAUCAGAAGAAAGGAAAAGAAGACCUCCCCUAUCAGUGGACUUGGGGAGGGGCAUCCAUGCAGAAGGAGGAAGAAGGGAGGGAUUGGGAGGGGAGGAGGGAAGGAACUACAGGCAUGACACAAAGUAAAUAAUGUGUAAUUAAUAAAAAAAAAAUUAAAAAAAAAAGAAAGACAUGCCAAACUUCAAGGGCACAUUUAGGCUGGGAAGUUUAUAGUUUCUGCAAUUGAUUUAUUGGAAGAUGAAUAAACUGUGAGAAAAAAAGGAUGUAGCCAAUGUAAUAGAGUUAUGCAUGCAAAAGGGGGGGAGGGAAGCACAUAUUUAAUGAACAAAGAACUUGAAAGUUUAACUGAUAAAAAAAAUAAAAUUAAAAAAAAAAAAAAAAAAAGAACUUGAAAGGCAGGAGAAAGGAUGGUAUUAAGGUGGAAUCAAUCACUAAAUAUUACAGAAAAGAAAAAAAAUGCUCAAAAUGAAGAGAAAAGAAGUAAACAUGCCCGGAAGGAGAACCCUGAACAAUAAAUCUAUUCUUACUGAUUUAAGAAGAAAAAAUAAGAUGUGGGCAAGCUGUGUGAGGGCAGCGAAGACAAAAGGAAAAAUGAGUUCUAGCCACGUGAGAAAAUUUAUGGCAGGGAAAAUCUUAUCAUGUUGCCGCUGAUUUUUAGGGAGUGAUGUCUGAGAAUUAAAGGUUCAAAUGAACUCAUCAGAGUAGAGAAAAUGGGUUCAGAAUGUGCUCUGUGAUUUAGGAGCAUCACAUGUGGUGGGAGAGUGUCUUUGAAAAGGCCCCGAAGAUGAUUUCACCAUAGCAUCUUGAGCAGAGGAAAUGAAGUUCUCCUUGAGGUCUGAAGAGCCUCAACAAGUAGAGAAAGAGAGAUGAUUACAGCUGUCAGUACUGAAAAUUACUUACAGCCAAGGAAAUAAAAAGCUUCUCAGGAAAAAAAAAUAAAAGGAGAAAGAAUAAGGUAAUUCACCAAAGUCAGAAGAGAAAGAAAUGGAGAGGGAAUAGCUGUAAAAGGCUAAAUGUUUGUCUUUCUCUGCUUCCAAGUUAAUAUAUUGAACUCUAAUACCAAUGUGAUGGUUUUGGGAGAUGGAGUGUUUUGAAAGUGAUUAAGCCAUAAGGGUAGGACCCUCAACAUAGGACUAGUAUACUUUACAUGGGGCCCCAGCGUGCUCUCCAGACAGCUCCCUGCUGUGAAAACAUAUAAAAUAAUGGCAGACUGGAACCUAGAAGAUGACUGUCACCAUAACCUACCCAUGAUGCCCCUGCAUCCCUCAGACAUGCAAGUCCCAGAACUGAGAGAAAUGUGUUUCUGUUUAGAACCCACCCACUCUUUGACAUUCUUACGUAGCUCUAACUGACUAAAAUAAUUGUUUUCCCCUGUCUUUAUUACCAUCUUCCCCUAAGUAAAUUAUAUCAGAAUGUGUGUGUCUUAUUGCCACCACUGGCCUGCCUUUCCAGGCACCAUAAUCACCAGGCUGGACUGGGUUAGGAAGCUUAGGCUGGUGGGUGGGUUAGGCAGGAUCUCGGUUGGCAUGAGCACAGGAGAAAGAGCCUUCUCCAGAGACGGCGUUCAGUGAAACAGCUCUCUUUAUGGGGGGCGGGCAAGGGCUAUACAAACCUGCGGGAGUAAGUAGGGGUUUUGUGGUGAGUGUGCAUCCUUGGCUAGGGCUGAGGGGCUGGGAAUGUUUCAUUUGUGUGAAGAGGAAUUCCAAGUGCGUGCUGACGUGUCCUUAUAGGGAGAGAGGAAGUUUAGCCUGAAACCUGGCCACCAGGCUGUGACUACCUCAGGAUGGCGGGGGUCUCAAGGCUAUGUGCGCUGGGACAUGCAGGCCCAGAGCAGGGAGGAAGCAGUCCUAUUCCUGCCAGUCUCAGGACUAGAUUUUCAGGGCUUGGACACGUCUUGACCUCAUGCUUGCUCCGAUUGGCUGCACCUCUCCCUCCAUCCCACCCCCCAGCUCUGCUGGUAGCGUGGUGUUUCCUGCUCCACAGUUUACAGUGACUAACUUACUUUGAUCAACUUUUGUCACACAAAUGGCUUAGCAUGGGUUCUGAUACUACGCUGCUUGAACUUGCACAACCGUUAUAGGCAAGUUAUUCUCAUUCUUCCUCAGCCUCAGAUGCUCUGUCUGUCCAAAGGGUAUUAAUAACAUAAUCCCAACCUCAUAAGUGAUUAAAUAUAUUGCAUCAAGAACAGUCAUAGAAUGACACCUAGUUCCACUUUGUUAAAUAUUCUUAAUUAUGUGAGCAUUUGCAUUAUAGUGAUGUAAAAUGUUUUGGGAAUUCAUGGAGUGUAUACCCUCAGGGAAUCCACAGGCUAUUAAGAUGGAUAUUAAUAGAUUAGAGAAAAAUAAUAGUCAAAAUAGAAUUUAAAAUUUGGAGAGCUAGUGAUUGUUCCCCAUACAAUGUCUUAGGCGCUGAGAAUGAAUUAAAAAAGAAAACACAAUGAGAUACUUUGCCUUCGUGGGACUUGGAGUCUAGUGAGAGGAGAGAGAAAGUAAGAGCUUGAAAGAAAAACAAAACAAAACAAACAAACAAACAAACAAAAAACUAGAAUGUGGAAAGAAUGGCCAGCUUAGGGCUUUAGUGAUGUUUUUCGAAAAAAGUAGUUAGGAUAUGCCCUAAGACACACUCCUAAAACAAAACCUCAGUUUAGAAAAUGGGCAAAGACAACAAACAAACAAUUAUGUUUUUUAUAGUUUCUUAAACCUAUGGUUGCUCUACGGAGUGUGUGAUCCACUGGGUGUUUUGCAGAAAUUGGCUUUCUGAUUGAGCUGUCUCUUUAUAGACACUUGCUAUACAAGCGGUGGCAGAACCCCACUUGGCUGGAGAAUAUUUUGCUGGGGAAUCAGAGGGCUAUCUGUUGUAAUUCACACAAGUGCUACUGUGUGGAGGCCCAGAGAGAAGAAAGGCCUUCCCCGGAGGUACAGAGGGGCUCUCAUAGGAUCUGUUGCACAACUAGACAGCUUUACAAUUUGUUUCAAAAUACUUACAGAUUUCUAUGACAGAGAAGGUUAAAUCAGACUGCAGAAGGCUAGGGAAAGAUGACUGACUGAAUAAGCACAUUGUGGCCUCCGCACAAUACAUCCUAAUAUUGCUUUAUCCAGAAAGGUUAACCAAACCGGGCCAUUUUUAGUUAUCACAGCUGGUUGGAGGAGGGGAUAUGGAAGCUGCUGAACUGAUUAAAUUAAACAGGGCUGUCCCACCCACGCUACCCACCAACAAGAAUUAUCAGGUCCCAAAAGUCCAUUUUGCUGAGGUUCAGAAAUAUUAGGGAUUGCACAGAAUUGCAGCUGGGAAAAGAAAGAUGCAAGCAUCGAGCAGGCGAAGGAAGAGAAAAAUAGUCCAAACUGUAGAUCACAGGACUCAAACACAGUUCCAAAGUACUGAUGAUAUUAAGAGGAGGGCAGUAUUUUUUUUUUUAAGCUUGUAUUAGAGAUGUGACAGAAAGCAGAUUUGGGAGCAGAAAAUAAAGAUGCCCGGCACUGGGAUUUGGGAAAGGGGGCAGUCCUCAUUAACACUGAUGAAGGAUGUUUAUACACAUACACACAGAAAUGACUUAACACCCCUCCCCCAUCAUGUGGGUCGGGACCUUUGCUGCCCUAUCUAUUAGUGAUUUAUCUCUUUCUUGUGGAGAUGACUGAUAAGAGGCAACCGUGGAAGGGAGGAUUUCUUUGGGCUCACAGUUUGAGGGAAUACAACCGUGUUGGCAAGGAAGAAAUGACAGCAUGCAACUUCAUGGUGGUGGGAUUGUGAACUCGGAGAUGGAGACGCAGAAAAAGAAGUUUUGGCCAGAUCCAGAGUUGGUUGUAACCCAUAAACCACAAACCUUAUGGUCCUAUUUCUGCCAGCGGGGCCCAAUGUCCUAAAGGUUCUGCAAUCUCUUGAUGCAGAACCACCAUCUGGGACCAAAAAAAGCAGAGUUUAAAAAACAGUUCCUACAGGACUCUUUUAAACUCUAACAGAAGAUGAAUCAGUGAGUUUCUAGAAGCAUAUUAAGGACAUCUGCUUCCGCUGAAUGCUUUUAUCAUCUCAUCUGUCAACAUACGAUCCUGAAAGGUGCUGUAUGACCACAUGGUUAACUCUAGCUGAAUUUGUCUGCUGGCUGAAUUUAUGUGAAAGAAGGAUGAGGAAGGCAGGUGCUUUCUUUUCUUCAUUUAUAACUAGCAAACGCGUGUCCACGCAAACGUGCAGACAAAGCAUUUAGCUCUCCUGCACCUUAGCAGAAGACCAAGGGAGUGUGAAGGAGGGCCACUUUCUGCCCUUUGAUUCAAGCCAAGCCUCUUGACCCAGAAGCAUAAAGCAGGCUCGUUCAUCUUCUGCAGAAGUAUCAGAAGACACUGUUCUCAUGACUAUGAAGGCUUAUUAGUCAGCGCCUUCUACUGUACAAAGCAGAUAUUGGUUUGAUAAAAUGCCUUGUGGGUCAGUUUCCAUGAAUUUUUCCUAGAGAUGCUUGGGAAACAUCCCAAAAAUAAAUUAGGAAAAAUAUCUUUAAAUUUGAGAAGUCAUUUUCAGUAGAAAUUGGGUUGAGUCGAAUUGACUUCAGGAGUAAGUUCUCCAUGUGGUGAGGAUGGAAAUUCUCUGUGGGUGAAGGGGUGUGUGUGUGUGUGUGUGUGUGUGUGUGUGUGUUCCCCUUUGUAGAAGCAGUAGCCUCUUACAGGGAGAGCUGCUGUCUCAGUAGGGAGGGGUAGGUAGAAAACCAAAGAUCCAAACAGUCCCAGAAGAUAUGCUUUCAGACCCAGCAGAGGUGGGCGUGUUCUCUUUGUGUAUAUAAGCCCUCUGAGCAGGAAGAGCCCUCAUCACAAUCCAUCUAGGUCAUAAGCACUGUUAGAACCUUAACACACACUUUUGCACUUAAGCGAGCACACACCUCCCCUCCCCCAAAACAACAGACUUUCACCUAAUGGUCUUCAAACUGCCAGUCCCAAAGCAACGUGCUCACUCUGAUUAAGCGAGUGAAUUCUUUAAGAGAACUUUCGGAAACGCAGAAAGCACAGCCCUGCCAGGCACGGUAUAUAAGCCUAUGGCUACUUCCACAUUUUGAUCCUGAUUGCAGCCUUCCAACAUCCUUUACUCAUUUUUGCUCAUUUUUUUUCUUCUAGCCUCUUACGUGAUCCAAGAACAGACUCUAUGCUACUUGGAGCUCAGACUGUAGGGAGUGUUUUAAAGGCAGACAGUAGGAAGAAACGGGCCAUCUCUGAAACGUCUGCUAAGUUACCUUACUCCUACUCUAAAAAACCAGUUAUAAACAUUCCUUGUCAGAGUUGUGGGAGGGGUUUAGAACAUUUAACUUGUUGGUCAGUUGAAAUGUGUGGAUGCCACGUAUUGGCAUCACUGAGCCAGUCAAAUUCCUUACAAGUUGGUGUUGCCAGGGCUCUUCAAGUGUGCUGGCAUUUCAUCCGGGUGUCUGUUUGCUGUCUGCUUUGAGUUGUAUUAAGCUCUUAAUAGCGAUUAGCACAAGUGGCUGCUUCCUAUUCCGAGGCAGGUACUGUACCAUAGGCAGGCGUUCCUUACAUUUUGACCUCUGUGUUCCCUAAGGAAAACCUUUCCCAAGGUCCCCAUCUCAGACAUUUAACUAGUUCCUGUUCUAAUUGAACAUUUUGAUUAUUUAUUAAAGUGUUACUUUAUAUAUUGUGUAUCUUCAUAUGCAUCAAUUUAAAUACAUAGAAAAAACCACUUAUCUGAAAGCAGAAGACAAGGAUAUAUAUAUAUGGAUAGUUUUUGUCAAAGUGAUACAAACCCGAGUCUUCUAGAAAGAGGGGUCCUCGGUUGAGGAAUUGCCUCCAUCAGAACUAGCUUAGGAGCACGUCUGCAGGACAUUUUCUUUAUUAAUGAUCGAUAGAGGAGGGCCUACCCACUGUGAGCUGCGCCAUUCCUAUGCGGGUGGUCCUGGAUUGUAUUGAGGAAGCAGGAUGAUUAAACCAGACAGUAGCAUUCCUCUGUUGUCUCCAGUUUCUGCCUCAGUUCCUGUCUGCGUGUUCCUGCCUUGGCUUCCCUUAAUGAUAGAGUAUGACCUGUCAGCCAGCUAAACACCUUUCCAUCCCAGUAGCUUUCGGUCAUGGUGUUUAUCACAGCAACACAAAGAAAACUAGAACAUGCACUGUGUCAAUUUGGACUAUAUACCUUAGCACAUAUGACGCCAUGUCAGAGGAACAAGGACCAUUCUGACCUAAGAGCCCAGCACGUAGACCCCUACACCUGCCGAAACGAGAGCAAAGACUUAGUCUAUCAUAGUCCACAGUUCUGGUAAAGUCCCUAAAAGCACUAUCCUUGCUUUUUGGACUCUGUAAAUCUACUUAUUGCUCACUGUUCUUGCUGAUGGGUGUUUAUGUUUUGUGUGCAUGAAAAGAACAUGUUUUGUGUGCAUGAAAAGCCAAGAACAAUAAGGCUUGUGGUGACAAGAUUUGGGCAACUUCCUCAUGUAGCUUGCUGGUCAUCCUAAAAAGGACUUUCCAUUGGCUUUAAGAGUCUAUAUGCAUCAGUGGACUUAG